GACGAACGCAGGCGGCGUGCUUAACACAUGCAAGUCGAACGGAAAGGCCCUGCUUUUGUGGGGUGCUCGAAUGGCGAACGGGUGAGUAACACGUGAGUAACCUGCCCUUGACUUUGGGAUAACUUCAGGAAACUGGGGCUAAUACCGGAUAGGAGCUCCUGCUGCAUGGUGGGGGUUGGAAAGUUUCGGCGGUUGGGGAUGGACUCGCGGCUUAUCAGCUUGUUGGUGGGGUAGUGGCUUACCAAGGCUUUGACGGGUAGCCGGCCUGAGAGGGUGACCGGCCACAUUGGGACUGAGAUACGGCCCAGACUCCUACGGGAGGCAGCAGUGGGGAAUAUUGCACAAUGGGCGGAAGCCUGAUGCAGCAACGCCGCGUGCGGGAUGACGGCCUUCGGGUUGUAAACCGCUUUCGCCUGUGACGAAGCGUGAGUGACGGUAAUGGGUAAAGAAGCACCGGCUAACUACGUG
rnacentral:rRNA from 1 species